rnacentral:rRNA from 1 species
UACGUAGGGGGCGAGCGUUGUCCGAAGUUACUGGGCGUAAAGCGCGCGUAGGCGGUCAUUUAAGUCUGAGGUGAAAGGUUCAGCGCUCAACGUGAACAGUGCCUUGGAUACUGGGUGACUUGAGUGCGUGAGGGGUCGGGGGAACGAGUGGUGUAGCGGUGAAAUGCGUAGAGAUCACUCGGAAGGCCAGAGCCGAAGGGGCCCGACUGGUACGCAACUGACGCUGAGGCACGAAAGCGUGGGGAGCAAACAGG